CACGAGAGACUGAUGGAUGUGAGACGUUUGCGGCAAGAGUAAGCCUUCCCUUCAAUGUUUAGCUUCUUCUUGAUGUUGCCAGGUUCCAGCUUGGCUCCCACGACAUGAUCUGCUAUUUACCGACUUGCGUCGUGACUAAAGUAAAAAGAAAAUCAAUAAGCUGUCUGUCCCGCGUCUGAUGCUGAUGAUAUUUGCCUUCUGGCUCACCCACCUCCUCCACACCACCGGCUCCGGGAGACUCGCUGCCGGCUCCUAUUACGUCCUCACCAUCCUUCUCGGUUCCAGUCAAGAAUAAAGAAGAACUGACCAAAUUUUAACAAAGCAAAUUCAAUUGACCAGAUGUUAGAUAAGUGAAAAAGCAAAUGGAGAUCAUAGAGCAAGUAGCUAUGACCCCGAGGGUGGGGAGAACAAAUGGAAGAAGAUGGAAGACAAGGGAACACCACAGAGCUGAGACUCAGCCCUGGAAGAGGGGGAUCUGGUAGGCUGGACUAGUGUCUCAGAAUCUCAGAAACGUACCCCCAUCAAGGUGGACCUCAAACCUCUAAGCAAGACAUGCUGAUAUGUCUGAAGCAGCAGUAAGGGACCAGUUCUGUAUUGUGGAAGAACAACAAACUGGAAUCAGCCACUGAUACAGAAACCAGCCACCACAGCCAGGAUGAAGAGCAGUUUCUGGGGUGACACAAACAGGAGCAAGUUUGUUUGUCAUUUCCAGUCUUACAGAUUCGAUCUGGCUUUCCUUGUUGGUCGAGCCUAACAGCAAGCCAGCCCACAAAGGAGAAAUGUAAUUUUCACAGUCCCAGGCCCAGUAUCACAGAGCACGGUAUAAAAGGGUGGGUUUUUAUUUUAAAAAAAGAGGCACUACCUUGGCAAUCACCAAACAUCGAAAAAUUAAAAUAAUCCCAAUAUCCAAAUAAAUUGCAGGUGUUACCAAAACACAAGAAUAAGGGACUAAAUUAUGGCAUUAGCUCAAAACUUACUGAAUGCAGGAAUAGAUUCCCAUAUUAACGUAUAGAGAAAACUUUGUUAUUCUUCAUGCUAGCCCAACUAAGAAUAAAUUAAUUAUGUGCUUUAU
rnacentral:lncRNA from 1 species